UACAUCAACAGCUCGUAUUUACAGAUUCCGUUUACGUUACAUCAUCGGUCUUUUAAAAGUAUGGUGCGCUCGAUCUAAGAUCCAAUUGCAACCAUCUGUUGUUCAUCAUAUCAGGUUGCGCGAGUCUGUAACGUGAAUCUGCCUUAUACUGAUAAAUUGUUACGACCUUCUUACGGUCGUUAAUUAGACCCACUUAAGCACCUUGUUUUAAUCUGAUCUCUUUACAGGCCGAUUCGAAAAUAAUAUCAACGAAAGUCCUCGUUCCCAGUUUCAGCUCUCGCUUAAUAAAACGUGUCCCGGCCACGCUUUAAAAUUAACGUAUCUGUAAAUGGAAACUGAUAAAUUACGCGAGAAGGUUAAACAACUUUUUGAUACUAUACCAUUUCCUUAGUGUGCUAUAACGUUUACAUCGAAUCGCCGUAUUUACAAGGUCGAUCGGUUCCUUUUAUAGCUUUUCCUCUUGUUUCUCGUUCGAUGCUUUUUCGACGGUUUCGAAGGAGAUCUCUCGUUAGCCAACUGACUCCCAUGUAAUAUCGACCUUUGCCCCGUUCGAACUCACGAUCGUGCCGUUCGUGGCACAGAUGCGGCAGCAACAAAGAACAGAGCGUCAGAAAUGCCGGUAUGCGCUCGAUUCUAAUAUUAGAGUUCGUAUGGGCCGCGUCUGAUCAGAAAAUUUCAGCAGCGUGGUUCGGAGUGUGUAGCGGGUCUACUGCACACGCAAACACGGGGAUAAUCAACGCUAACUUGGCUCUAACUAUUCAUAGCACGUGCGCAAUGUCGUGCCCGGCACGUUGCCCAGAUCAGGCGUCAACUCGUAAUGCAGCCUCUGCUCUCUCGGUGCAUUUACCCAUACUACGUUGCAUGCUUGUGCACCGAUCGGCGCUGUAUUAUCGCGUUGAUCGUUGCCACGGUGCGAUUUGCUCGUUGGAUUUUACUCGUCGAGAGUAUUUACGAGACGCGAGACGCGAUAUCGCUCGGUACAGCGUUAAUCGUCCGUCAAAGAGUCGAUUUUUUGUAAUCGAGUUUUUAAGUUGGUUUAUUGAUAGGAUCGAAGUGGCAACGAUUGACAUGAACGGUGGCUCGGCGUAAUUACAGUUUAGGUACGUUCAGUGCAUUUCUCAGCGGGCCGACACCGCUAGUCCUGGCGAUCGUGCUAUUCUCACUGCGAUCACGUAUGUCUACUAAUGGAACGUUACAAUUACCUAGUACAGAAUAAGCGUGGUACGUACUUACAUAUAUAUAAUAUAUUUAUAUAUCGUAAAUAUUCAGUAUAUACAAUGAAUGUCUUUUUGAAACUUAAUUUUUUUUUUUUUAACAAAAGAUAGAUUACAAUACUUAGAAACGAGUAAAGGAAUUGUUCUUACAAUUCUUAGUUUUUCUUAUUUAAUUUUCAAUUUAUAUGUUACAUUCUACGGUAAUUUUAUAGUAAUUUAAAUGAGUUGAAAAUGCUUUGACAAUAAUAUCUUAUUUUUCUUGUAAUUUAAUUUGACUUGAUAUAAAUUUGUACAAAAUAUUUGUCUGUUAAUACAUUCACUGCUACUAAAGUGUAUGUAUCUGUUCCUUAAAUUGUACUCUCUUGUCUCGUUAGAAACGUCUUCAUUUUAAAUAAUACCUAAUUCUUGUUCCAAUACACUGUCCUAAGUAACUUAUCUGAGAUAUCUUGACGAUACGUAAAAAAGAAAUUUGAAAUGCAACGGUUAUAUGAAUAUGUUAAACGCAGAAUGUAAGCAAUUACGAAUGCAUUCGCUCUGACAUAUUUAAUCGAUUAAUGGACGAUGCUGCAAUGUAUAUACCUAACAUCUAAUCACAUCUUACAAAGUACAGACAAAAUGUUCAAUCGUUUCUCACGUUCGACAAAUGGGCUAACUAUUAAAAGGUUAAUUUUGUCAUUGAAUAGGUUUCAUAAUAGCACAUUUUUUCUAAAGUUAUCCCGAUUAACAAUACAAAUGUCGAGAUGUAAUCUUUCAUUUAUAUAACAAAACAAACAGCGCGCGAGCGCUGAAAUCUUGAUUACGGAACUGAUUAAUCAAACGUUUGAUCAUUCGGGCUGCACGUCAUCCAAUUAGUCCGGAUAAUCGAGAUGCAACAUUGUAUCUAUGAUGUUCCGUAUGCACUCACGUUAAUUAUUGUACUGGUGUAUUAUAUAAGAUACGUUGGCCCAGAAUGAAGCAUACGUGGCUGGAAACGUGCAUCGCAAAGCAAACUUUACGCGGUUAGCAAACAGCUUAUAUGUCAUACCACCGUAUUCGCGAUUGUUACAUUGUUUCUACGUGUUACAAAAGCGAACGGAUGAUAAUUAAUAUUAUGAAGCUUACAAAUUUUCUACAUUCUUUAUCACUGUUAAUAUAAGUGCUACCUGGAUUAAAAAAAGCUAUUCUCCUGGUUUAAUAAUAUUUUUGUAGUUAGUAAAUAUAGAUCUAGACAUGUGAAUUUUAUUGUAGAAGUGGCAAAAAUAUUUUUUCAUUUAAGAAUGAAAAAUAAUUCCCAUUUGCA